CCUACGGGGGGCAGCAGUGAGGAAUAUUGGUCAAUGGACGAGAGUCUGAACCAGCCAAGUAGCGUGAAGGAUGACUGCCCUAUGGGUUGUAAACUUCUUUUAUAUGGGAAUAAAGUGUUCCACGUGUGGGAUUUUGUAUGUACCAUAUGAAUAAGGAUCGGCUAACUCCGUGCCAGCAGCCGCGGUAAUACGGAGGAUCCGAGCGUUAUCCGGAUUUAUUGGGUUUAAAGGGAGCGUAGGUGGAUUGUUAAGUCAGUUGUGAAAGUUUGCGGCUCAACCGUAAAAUUGCAGUUGAAACUGGCAGUCUUGAGUACAGUAGAGGUGGGCGGAAUUCGUGGUGUAGCGGUGAAAUGCUUAGAUAUCACGAAGAACUCCGAUUGCGAAGGCAGUUCACUGGACUGCAACUGACACUGAGGCUCGAAAGUGUGGGUAUCAAACAGGAUUAGAUACCCUUGUAGUC
rnacentral:rRNA from 1 species